rnacentral:rRNA from 1 species
GAUGAACGCUAGCUACAGGCUUAACACAUGCAAGUCGAGGGGCAGCAUGGACAUAGCUUGCUAUGUUUGAUGGCGACCGGCGCACGGGUGCGUAACACGUAUCCAAUCUGCCCGUUACUCGGGGAUAGCCUUCUGAAAGGAAGAUUAAUACCCGAUGGCAUGUAUUUCCGGCAUCGGAGAUACAUUAAAGAUUUAUCGGUAACGGAUGAGGAUGCGUACGAUUAGCUUGUUGGCGGGGUAACGGCCCACCAAGGCGACGAUCGUUAGGGGUUCUGAGAGGAAGGUACCCCACACUGGAACUGAGACACGGUCCAGACUCCUACGGGAGGCAGCAGUGAGGAAUAUUGGUCAAUGGUCGGAAGACUGAACCAGCCAAGUAGCGUGAAGGAUGACUGCCCUACGGGUUGUAAACUUCUUUUGUUUGGGAAUAAAAGACGCUACGUGUAGCGUUCUGCAUGUACCUUACGAAUAAGCAUCGGCUAAUUCCGUGCCAGCAGCCGCCGUAAUAC